CGGGGCGUAGCGCAGCCUGGUAGCGCGCCUGCUUUGGGAGCAGGAUGCCGCAGGUUCAAAUCCUGCCGCCCCGACCA
rnacentral:tRNA from 1 species